AUACGGAGGGAGCAAGCGUUAUUCGGAAUCACUGGGCGUAAAGGACGCGUAGGCGGGUUUAUAAGUCAGGUGUGAAAUCCUACAGCUCAACUGUAGAACUGCACUUGAAACUACAGACCUAGAGUAUGGAAGGGGCAGAUGGAAUUAGUGGUGUAGGGGUAAAAUCCGUAGAUAUCACUAGGAAUACCGAAAGCGAAGGCGAUCUGCUGGGACAUUACUGACGCUGAGGCGUGAAAGCGUGGGGAGCAAACAGGAUUAGAAACCCCUGUAGUCC
rnacentral:rRNA from 1 species